rnacentral:tRNA from 1 species
GGGCACUUGGCACAGUGGUAGCGCGCACGCUUCGCAUUCAGUCGAAUAGAUUGCGUGAGGUCGGGAGUUCAAUCCUCCCAGUGUCCA